ACCUGGUUGAUCCUGCCAGUAGUGAUAUGCUUGUUUUAAAGACUAAGCCAUGCAAGUGCAAGUAUGAACUAAAUAAAGUGAAACCGCGAAUGGCUCAAUAAAUCAAUUGAAAUUCACAGGCUGAGACUGGAUUACAUGGAUAACUGUGGUAAUUCUAGAGCUAAUACAUGCAACCGAGCUUUGGCACCUUCAACCGUGUCAAAGAGCUUUUAUUAGCCUAAAAACCAAUAACUGUUGUCUGUGUCUUCUGAAGAUUCGGCAGUGGUGAAACAAUUUGUUGAAACACAAUAAUUGUGUGUGGAUCGUACGGUCACGAACCGACGACGCGCCUUACAAGUGCUUGUCUAAUCAGCUGUCGACGGUUUGCUAAAGGCUGACCGUGGCAGUGACAAGUAACGGGGAAUCUGAGUUCGAUUCCGGAGAGGGAGCCUGAGAGACGGCUACCACACCUAAGGGUGGCAGCAGGCGCGUAAAUUACCUAAUCCCGGCACGGGGAGGUAGUGAAAAUAAAUACCUUACAGAAGUUCUGUUAACCAGAACCUCUUAAACGGAAUGAGUAAAACAUGAAUCCUUUAACGAGGAUCCAUUGGAGGGCAAGUCUGGUGCCAGCAGCCGCGGUAAUUCCAGCUCCAAUAGCAUAUACUAAUGCUGUUGCGGUUAAAAAGCUCGUAGUUGGAUUUCAGUGGUAAGCGAAGUUGGUAUGUCGUUCGUCUGUUUGGUGAGCGUACUUGGCGUGUGAGGCUGGCAUUGCUUCUGCAACUGUCUUCUUCGCACUGCACUAUUAUGUCUUCUCCAGCAGUCGUCGACACCAUAAAGUACCAACUGAGCUACAUUGUUAAAAGCUGUCCUGUCGGCGGUUGCUCUGAUUAAGGAGGGACUGACCAGCAGACAGCAGUACUACCUUGAUGAAAUUAGAGUGCUCAAGGCAGGCUAUAACAAAAUAGCCUGAAUAUUCAAUUCAGCGGAAUUGGAGAAAACGUCCCUGACUCACGUUUGUUGGUUCUAUGAGUCGAUGGGAAAUGAUUAAAAGGGACUGACGGGGGCAUUUGUAUUGCGGCGCUAGGGGUGAAAUCCAGUGACCGUCGCAAGACAAACUACUGCGAAAGCAUUUGCCAAGAAUGUUUUCAUUAGUCAAGAACGAAAGUUAGAGGAUCGAAGGCGAUCAGAUACCGCCCUAGUUCUAACCGUAAACUAUGUCGACCAGCAAUCCGCACAGUCCAUGAAUAUAGUCUGUGCGGGCAGCUCCUCCGGGGAAACCAGAGUUUCUGGACUUCGGGGGGAGUAUGGUUGCAAGAUUGAAACUUAAAGGAAUUGACGGAAGGGCACCACCAGGAGUGGAGCUUGCGGCUUAAUUUGACUCAACACGGGAAAGCCUACCAGGCCCGGACACUAUAAGGAUUGACUGAUUGAUCGCUCUCUCUUGAUUUUGUGGGUAGUGGUGCAUGNCCGUUCUUAGUUCGUGGAGUGCUUUGUCUGCUUUAUUGCGAUAACGGACGAGACUCUUACCUACUAAAGUUGACGUUGUAGGUCAGCGUGCGGUGUGACUGUGGAUUCGUUUGCAGGAGCAUCGCGCACUGAUUCGUUGGUGUGCUUGUCACACUGCAACGAGCUUCUUAGAGGAAUUGACGGUGAUAAAACAGCCGAAANAGAGAAGAGCAAUAACAGGUCUGUGAUGCCCUUAGAUGUCCUGGGCUGCCCGCGUGUUACACUGAAUUGUGCAGCGCGUGGGAAAAACGUCCGGCUCUGCAAAGAGUCGGUAAACGUAUUAAUCCAAUUCGUGAUUGGAAUUGGGGGUUGCAAUUGUCUCCCAUGAACGAGGAAUUCCUAGUAGUCGCAAGUCACUAACUUGCGUCGAUUAAGUCCCUGCCCUUKGUACACACCGCCCGUCGCUACUACUGAUGAACGUUUUGGUGAGAUCGUCCAGACUGGUCAACAGCUUCGGCUUGUGGCUGGAAAGGCGCUCAAACUUGACCGUUUAGAAGAAGUAAAAGUCGUAACAAGGUUUCCGUAGGUGAACCUGCGGAAGGAUCAUUAA
rnacentral:rRNA from 1 species